rnacentral:rRNA from 1 species
UACGUAGGGCGCAAGCGUUGUCCGGAAUUAUUGGGCGUAAAGAGCUCGUAGGCGGCCUGUUGCGUCCGCUGUGAAAUCCCGGGGCUCAACCCCGGGCCUGCAGUGGAUACGGGCUGGCUAGAGGCAGGCAGGGGAGAACGGAAUUCCUGGUGUAGCGGUGAAAUGCGCAGAUAUCGGGAGGAACACCGGUGGCGAAGGCGGUUCUCUGGGCCUUACCUGACGCUGAGGAGCGAAAGCGUGGGGAGCGAACAGG